AGAGUUUGAUCCUGGCUCAGGACGAACGCUGCGCGUGCCUAACAUGCAAGUCGAGCGAGAUCCAUCCGGUGCUUGCACCGGUGAAGAUCUAGCGGCGAACGGGUGAGUAACACGUGAGCAACCUGCCCCGAUGUCUGGGAUAACUCGAGGAAACUCGGGCUAAUACCGGAUGUCGUCGUUGGACCGCAUGGUCUGAUGACGAAAGAUUUAUCGCUUCGGGAGGGGCUCGCGUCCUAUCAGCUUGUUGGUGAGGUAACGGCUCACCAAGGCUUCGACGGGUAGCUGGUCUGAGAGGACGAUCAGCCACACUGGGACUGAGACACGGCCCAGACUCCUACGGGAGGCAGCAGUUAGGGAUCUUGCGCAAUGGGCGAAAGCCUGACGCAGCAACGCGCGUGCGGGAGGAAGGCUUCGGGUUGUAAACCGCUUUCAGUGGGGACGAAAACA
rnacentral:rRNA from 1 species